rnacentral:lncRNA from 1 species
CACCUUUUUCAUUGAAUGACGAAAUUGGGUAGCCCCGAUUUUCACCAUAUACACCUAUUGAUGCCACCAUUCUAAAAAAAUCUGAAAUCAAUAAAAUGAUAUUAGAUGGAUAAAAAAAGAAUUACUAGAAUCAUAACCAAAUAAAAUUAAAGAUCUCAAAAAGAAAAAGAAAACAAAUCUACAAUUUAAAUAAAUAAUAGAAAAGAGAUUUUAAAUAAAGAGGAUAACAAAUUUAAAUGAGAUUGUAUAAAGAGAGAGGAUAACAAAAAUGAAGAAAAUAAAAUAAAUUAAGAAAGGAAAUAUAAAGAUACGAAAGAAAAGGGAAAAGGUUAAAAGGGUCCAUGUAGGACUGCAAGGAUUAAUAAUGGUGGCGUGAGAAUAAAAAAAUACAAGACUCACCAUCCUAAAUCUUGCCUGUGGGACUUCGAAAUCAAUGUCCAUAAAAAUGGUUUUUUCGACUUCUUUUCGGCCAUAAAAAGGGUUUUUUUUUCUCCAACUAUUUUUUCACUUUUCUUCGGAAUCUAUGUUUCCAUGAAAAUUUCAAAUUUCACUUAAAGAAUUUCGAAAAAGUUCGAAAUUUGAAAAACUCCAAAAAAAAGCUAUUUUUUAAAAAAUUUACUUCAAAGUACUCACAAAAAUUCAAAACAAUUCCAAAUUGUAUUCAUGUCCAAACAUAACUUAAAUUUUCAAAUAUCAUUUUCAUCUUGAAAAAAGGAUUUCACGUUUUCUGAAAUUUCAUAAUUUUUAUGUCCAAACACCCACUUAGCACUUAAACACAGGCACCUAAGUCAAUUUAUGAUUACGGGUGCCACCCACUAUUAUAAGUCAACUGAGUAUGAGAUCCGACAAACAAUGAAGGCAAAGAAAGAUAAGUGUAAGUUAAAGAGUGUUUACACCUAAUGAUCCGUUUGAUCCCUCCUUUUGUAAUGGCAAAGUAAAUCCUUGUUUGUUUCAACUCUACAACAUUCAUAACCUUCAUGUCAUCAUCAUCAUUUUAUUCUUGUAUUUUUGCCCGCCUCAACAUCAGUACCGCUACCUUCAGCUUCGGUAUUACUUUUAAUAUAAUCUUUAUCUUCUGCUCAUUUACUUUCUUCUCUGGGUCUACACCAUGAUCAACAUAUUUGUCUUUUUUCGGAUAAUUUUCAGGUCGAAGAAGGAGCAUUGGAAGAUAGUUAGUUAGUCUAAUUAGUUAGGACCAAAGUAUAACCACUAGAACAUAGAGAAGUCAUUAUUAUUAUUCUAAUUUCCUCGUAUAUAAUAAUUUGUUACAACAGUUAAUAAAAUCAGUUGGAAAAUUCCCAAAACUCUGUCUUUUUCUUCACACUCAAAGCUCUCUCUAAUGGCCGAAUUUUGACAUGGUAUCAAAGCCAUGGAGACUGAUUCGUGAAGAUUUCGACAUUUAUCUAACCAAUUUCCUACUCAUUGAAUUGAUCACUGCUAAUUUCAGUAAUUAUUUGUUCGAUCAGGAAGAUCGAUUGCUCAAGCUUGUGCGUCAAUGGCGACAGAAAAAUCGACCGUACGCAUCCUCUUUUUUUCAACUUUCUAAUACACCUACAUUGAUUCUAAUUCCAAUUUAGCUCACAUGUUUAGAGAACUACGGACAGUUGAGUAGAUCAAUGCGACUUGCUCUCAAGGCCAAAGGAAGCUAAGGUUUGUAACAAGAACGUAUGUGUUUGUCGUGAAAAUAGUAACAACAAUUAAGUUGAUAAAUGGGAUUUUAAAAAUAGAUGAUCUAUUCCCGAGCUAGUUUCUAGGGUGAUUAGUGCUGAAAUGAGAAGUAAAGCGAUGGAGAUCGAGUUAAACAAAUCAAUAACCAAACCAGUGAAGGGACAUUACCCGGGCGCAAAACCAGCCGGUGAGAACCUCGGAGCCAAGCCUCGAGCCUAUCUCGGGCUUAUCAAGGAUAGUCGGGAAAGGGAUAAUACGUAAAAUACAGUUGAACCAAGCUCUAUACUACCAAUAUUGAGGAAAAUAAUAACAAGAACAAAUGAUGAAAUAAUAAAGUGCUAAAGUGACCUCGAGGUCGAUGGAGACAAAUAUCUUAGAAGAGAUAGAGAGAGAGAGUAUUACUGCUUUCCUAAG